rnacentral:rRNA from 1 species
CGGUGUUCAACUGGCGUGCCCGCGGGACGUCCUGCCGGUGAGCUCAGCCCGCGAGGGCGGCUCGACUUGAAAUCCCAUCGCGGUGCUCUUCAUUGAGUGUCGAGGUGGGCCGGCACGAUUACUUUUGAACAAAUUAGAGUGCUUAAAGCAGGCUAAAAUUUUGCCUGAAUACUGUGUAUAUGGAAUAAUGGAAUAGGACCUCGGUUCUAUUUUGUUGGUUUUCGGAACCCCGAGGUAAUGAUUAAUAGGAACGAAUGGGGGCAUUCGUAUUGCGACGUUAGAGGUGAAAUUCUUGGAUCGUCGCAAGACGGACUAAAGCGAAAGCAUUUGCCAAAAACGCUUUCAUUGAUCAAGAACGAAAGUUAGAGGUUCGAAGGCGAUCAGAUACCGCCCUAGUUCUAACCAUAAACUAUGCCAGCUAGCGAUCCGCCGACGUCCCUCUGAUGACUCGGCGGGCAGCUUCCGGGAAACCAAAGCUUUUGGGUUCCGGGGGAAGUAUGGUUGCAAAGCUGAAACUUAAAGGAAUUGACGGAAGGGCACCACCAGGAGUGGAGCCUGCGGCUUAAUUUGACUCAACACGGGAAACCUCACCAGGCCCAGACACUGGAAGGAUUGACAGAUUGAGAGCUCUUUCUUGAUUCAGUGGGUGGUGGUGCAUGGGCCGUUCUUAGUCGGUGGAGCGAUUUGUCAGGUUAAUUCCGAUAACGGACGAGACUCUGACCUGAUAACUAGACGCACUUGCGGCAUCUCAAAGGUCCGCCGGCGGCUGGCUUUGCGCCCGUCGUCGCGCGCGAUUUUUACUGCCGGCGUACAAUAAAUUCUUCUUAGAGGGACAAGUGG